CCAAUAGCGUAUAUUAAAGUUGUUGCAGUUAAAAAGCUCGUAGUUGAAUUUCGGGGUUAGUAGGUUGGUCAUGCCUCUGGUAUGUACUGAUCUCACUGAUUCCUCCCUCUUGACGAACUGUAAUGUCAUUAAUUUGGUGUUGCAGGAAAUCAGGACUGUUACUUUGAAAAAAUUAGAGUGUUUAAAGCAGGCUUAGGCUUGAAUACAUUAGCAUGGAAUAAUGAAAUAGGACGUUUGAUCCUAUUUUGUUGGUUUCUAGGAUCGACGUAAUGAUUAAUAGGGAUAGUUGGGGGCAUUAGUAUUCAAUUGUCAGAGGUGAAAUUCUUGGAUUUAUUGAAGACUAACUACUGCGAAAGCAUUUGCCAAGGAUGUUUUCAUUAAUCAAGAACGAAAGUUAGGGGAUCGAAGACGAUCAGAUACCGUCGUAGUCUUAACCAUAAACUAUGCCGACUAGGGAUCGGAUGAUGUUAAUUUUUUAAUGACUCAUUCGGCGCCUUACG
rnacentral:rRNA from 1 species